rnacentral:rRNA from 1 species
UGGGGAAUUUUGGACAAUGGGCGAAAGCCUGAUCCAGCAAUGCCGCGUGUGUGAAGAAGGCCUUCGGGUUGUAAAGCACUUUUGUCCGGAAAGAAAUCCUUGGCUCUAAUACAGUCGGGGGAUGACGGUACCGGAAGAAUAAGCACCGGCUAACUACGUGCCAGCAGCCGCGGUAAUACGUAGGGUGCAAGCGUUAAUCGGAAUUACUGGGCGUAAAGCGUGCGCAGGCGGUUUGCUAAGACCGAUGUGAAAUCCCGGGCUCAACCUGGGAACUGCAUUGGUGACUGGCAGGCUAGAGUAUGGCAGAGGGGGGUAGAAUUCCACGUGUAGCAGUGAAAUGCGUAGAGAUGUGGAGGAAUACCGAUGGCGAAGGCAGCCCCUGGGCCAAUACUGACGCUCAUGCACGAAAGCGUGGGGAGCAAACAGGAUUAGAUACCCUGGUAGUCCACGCCCUAAACGAUGUCAACUAGUUGUUGGGGAUUCAUUUCCUUAGUAACGUAGCUAACGCGUGAAGUUGACCGCCUGGGGAGUACGGUCGCAAGAUUAAAACUCAAAUGAAUUGACGGGGUCAUAGCUGUUUCCU